AUUGAACGCUGGCGGCAGGCCUAACACAUGCAAGUCGAGCGAGCGGCGGACGGGUGAGUAAUGUAUGGGGACUGCCUGAUAGAGGGGGAUAACUACUGGAAACGGUGGCUAAUACCGCAUACUAUCGGAUAACCCAUAUGGGAUUCGCUAGUAGGUGGGGGAAAGGCUCACCUAGGCGACGAUCUCUAGCUGGGCUGAGAGGAUGAGAAGCCACACUGGGACUGAGACACGGCCCAGACGACUACGGAGGCAGCAGGGGGGAAUAUUGCACAAUGGGCGCAAGCCUGAGGCAGCCAUGCCGCGUGUAUGAAGAAGGCAUUAGGGUUGUAAAGUACUUUCAGCGGGGAGGCGUUACCCGCAGAAGAAGCACCGGCUAACUCCGUGCCAGCAGCCGCGGUAAUUC
rnacentral:rRNA from 1 species